AACGAACGCUGGCGGCAGGCCUAACACAUGCAAGUCGAGCGAGGACUUCGGUCCUAGCGGCGGACGGGUGAGUAACGCGUGGGAACGUGCCCUUUGCUUCGGAAUAGCCCUGGGAAACUGGGAGUAAUACCGGAUGAGCCCUUUGGGGGAAAGAUUUAUCGGCGAAGGAUCGGCCCGCGUUGGAUUAGGUAGUUGGUGGGGUAAUGGCCUACCAAGCCGACGAUCCAUAGCUGGUUUGAGAGGAUGAUCAGCCACACUGGGACUGAGACACGGCCCAGACUCCUACGGGAGGCAGCAGUGGGGAAUCUUAGACCAUGGGGGAAACCCUGAUCUAGCCAUGCCGCGUGAGCGAUGAAGGCCUUAGGGUUGUAAAGCUCUUUCAGCUGGGAAGAUAAUGACGGUACCAGCAGAAGAAGCCCCGGCUAACUCCGUG
rnacentral:rRNA from 1 species